UACGUAGGGGGCAAGCGUUGUCCGGAAUCAUUGGGCGUAAAGCGCGUGUAGGCGGCUCGGUAAGUCCGCUCUGAAAGUCCAAGGCUCAACCUUGGGAUGCGGGUUGAUACUGCCGGGCUCGAGUCCGGAAGAGGCGAGUGGAAUUCCUGGUGUAGCGGUGAAAUGCGCAGAUAUCAGGAGGAACACCAAUGGCGAAGGCAGCUCGCUGGGACGAGACUGACGCUGAGACGCGAAAGCGUGGGGAGCAAACAGG
rnacentral:rRNA from 1 species